CCUACGGGUGGCAGCAGUAGGGAAUCUUCGGCAAUGGACGAAAGUCUGACCGAGCAACGCCGCGUGAGUGAAGAAGGUUUUCGGAUCGUAAAACUCUGUUGGUAGAGAAGAACGUUGGUGAGAGUGGAAAGCUCAUCAAGUGACGGUAACUACCCAGAAAGGGACGGCUAACUACGUGCCAGCAGCCGCGGUAAUACGUAGGUCCCGAGCGUUGUCCGGUUUUAUUGGGCGUAAAGCGAGCGCAGGGGGUUUAUUAAGUCUGGUGUAAAAGCAGUGGCUCAACCAUUGUAUGCAUUGGAAACUGGUAGACUUGAGUGCAGGAGAGGAGAGUGGAAUUCCAUGUGUAGCGGUGAAAUGCGUAGAUAUAUGGAGGAACUCCGAUUGCGAAGGCAGCAUACCGGCGCGCAACUGACGCUCAUGCACGAAAGCGUGGGUAUCGAACAGGAUUAGAUACCCGGGUAGUC
rnacentral:rRNA from 1 species